GCCCGCGUGGCCUAAUGGAUAAGGCGUCUGACUUCUAAUCAGAAGAUUGUUAGUUCGAUCCCGGCCGUGGGCU
rnacentral:tRNA from 1 species